rnacentral:rRNA from 1 species
GACGAACGCUGGCGGCGCGCCUAACACAUGCAAGUCGAACGAGAGAUGAGGAGCUUGCUCUUCAAAUCGAGUGGCGAACGGGUGAGUAACGCGUGAGGAACCUGCCUCAAAGAGGGGGACAACAGUUGGAAACGACUGCUAAUACCGCAUAAGCCCACGGCUCGGCAUCGAGCAGAGGGAAAAGGAGUGAUCCGCUUUGAGAUGGCCUCGCGUCCGAUUAGCUGGUUGGUGAGGUAACGGCCCACCAAGGCGACGAUCGGUAGCCGGACUGAGAGGUUGAACGGCCACAUUGGGACUGAGACACGGCCCAGACUCCUACGGGAGGCAGCAGUGGGGAAUAUUGCACAAUGGGGGGGAACCCUGAUGCAGCGACGCCGCGUGGAGGAAGAAGGUCUUCGGAUUGUAAACUCCUGUUGUUGAGGAAGAUAAUGACGGUACUCAACAAGGAAGUGACGGCUAACUACGUG